AGAGUUUGAUCCUGGCUCAGAACGAACGCUGGCGGCAGGCCUAACACAUGCAAGUCGAGCGAGAAGGUACCUUCGGGUACUGGACAGCGGCGGACGGGUGAGUAACGCGUGGGAAUAUACCUUUCGGUGGGGGACAACAGUUGGAAACGACUGCUAAUACCGCAUACGCCCUUUGGGGGAAAGAUUUAUCGCCGAGAGAUUAGCCCGCGUUAGAUUAGGUAGUUGGUGAGGUAACGGCUCACCAAGCCGACGAUCUAUAGCUGGUCUGAGAGGAUGAUCAGCCACACUGGGACUGAGACACGGCCCAGACUCCUACGGGAGGCAGCAGUGGGGAAUAUUGCGCAAUGGAGGAAACUCUGACGCAGCCAUGCCGCGUGAGUGAAGAAGGCCUUAGGGUUGUAAAGCUCUUUCAACUGUGAGGAUGAUGACAGUAGCAGUAGAAGAAGCUCCGGCUAACUUCGUGCCANCAGCCGCGGUAAUACGAAGGGAGCAAGCGUUGUUCGGAAUUACUGGGCGUAAAGGGCGUGUA
rnacentral:rRNA from 1 species